AGAUUGAACGCUGGCGGCAGGCCUAACACAUGCAAGUCGAGCGGUAGAGAGGUGCUUGCACCUCUUGAGAGCGGCGGACGGGUGAGUAAUGCCCAGGAAUCUGCCUAGUGGUAGGGGGAUAACGUUCGGAAACGGACGCUAAUACCGCAUACGUCCUACGGGAGAAAGGCGGGGGACCUUCGGGCCUCGCGCCAUUAGAUGAGCCUAGGUCGAUUAGCUAGUUGGUGAGGUAAUGGCUCACCAAGGCGACGAUCCCGUAACUGGUCUGGAGAGGAUGAUCAGUCACACUGGAACUGAGACGACGGUCCAGACUCCUACGGGAGGCAGCAGGUGGGAAUAGUUGGACAAGUGGGCGAAAGCCUGACUCCAGCCAUGCCGCGUGUGUUAGAAGAAGGUCUUCGGAUUGUAAAGC
rnacentral:rRNA from 1 species